rnacentral:rRNA from 1 species
GGGCCCGCACAAGCGGUGGAGUAUGUGGUUUAAUUCGAUGAUACGCGAGGAACCUUACCUGGGCUCGAAUGGAUUUGGACCGUUCCUGAAAGGGAACUUCUCUUCGGAGCUGAAUUCAAGGUGCUGCAUGGUUGUCGUCAGCUCGUGCCGUGAGGUGUUGGGUUAAGUCCCGCAACGAGCGCAACCCCUAUUCUUAGUUACCAGCACGUAAUGGUGGGGACUCUAGGAAGACUGCCGGCGUAAGCCGCGAGGAAGGUGGGGAUGACGUCAAAUCAUCAUGGCCUUUAUGCCCAGGGCUACACACGUGCUACAAUGGAGGGUACAGAGGGUAGCGAAGCCGCGAGGUGGAGCCAAUCUCACAAAGCCCUUCCCAGUUCGGAUUGGAGUCUGCAACUCGACUCCAUGAAGUUGGAAUCGCUAGUAAUCGCGCAU